GGGGGGGCUUCCCGGGAUUAUUGGGCGUAAGAGCUCGUAGGCGGUUUGUCGCGUCUGCCGUGAAAGUCCGGGGCUCAACUCCGGAUCUGCGGUGGGUACGGGCAGACUAGAGUGAUGUAGGGGAGACUGGAAUUCCUGGUGUAGCGGUGAAAUGCGCAGAUAUCAGGAGGAACACCGAUGGCGAAGGCAGGUCUCUGGGCAUUAACUGACGCUGAGGAGCGAAAGCAUGGGGAGCGAACAGGAUUAGAUACCCUGGUAGUCCAUGCCGUAAACGUUGGGCACUAGGUGUGGGGGACAUUCCACGUUUUCCGCGCCGUAGCUAACGCAUUAAGUGCCCCGCCUGGGGAGUACGGCCGCAAGGCUAAAACUCAAAGGAAUUGACGGGGGCCCGCACAAGCGGCGGAGCAUGCGGAUUAAUUCGAUGCAACGCGAAGAACCUUACCAAGGCUUGACAUGGGCCGGACCGGGCUGGAAACAGUCCUUCCCCUUUGGGGCCGGUUCACAGGUGGUGCAUGGUUGUCGUCAGCUCGUGUCGUGAGAUGUUGGGUUAAGUCCCGCAACGAGCGCAACCCUCGUUCCAUGUUGCCAGCGCGUAAUGGCGGGGACUCAUGGGAGACUGCCGGGGUCAACUCGGAGGAAGGUGGGGACGACGUCAAAUCAUCAUGCCCCUUAUGUCUUGGGCUUCACGCAUGCUACAAUGGCCGGUACAAAGGGUUGCGAUACUGUGAGGUGGAGCUAAUCCCAAAAAGCCGGUCUCAGUUCGGAUUGGGGUCUGCAACUCGACCCCAUGAAGUCGGAGUCGCUAGUAAUCGCAGAUCAGCAACGCUGCGGUGAAUACGUUCCCGGGCCUUGUACACACCGCCCGUCAAGUCACGAAAGUUGGUAACACCCGAAGCCGGUGGCCUAACCCCUUGUGGGAGGGAGCUGUCGAAGUGGGACUGGCGAUUGGGACUAAGUCGUAACAAGGUAACC
rnacentral:rRNA from 1 species